rnacentral:rRNA from 1 species
CCUACGGGAGGCAGCAGUCGAGAAUAAUUCACAAUGGGGGAAACCCUGAUGGUGCAACGCCGCGUGGGGGAAUGAAGGUCUUCGGAUUGUAAACCCCUGUCAUGUGGGAGCAAAUUAAAAAGAUAGUACCACAAGAAGAGGAGACGGCUAACUCUGUGCCAGCAGCCGCGGUAAUACAGAGGUCUCAAGCGUUAUUCGGAAUCACUGGGCGGAAAGCGUGCGUAGGCCGGUGCGUAAGUCGUUUGUGAAAGGCGAGGGCUUAACCCGCGGACGGUAAUUGAUACUGCGAGACAAGGGUAAGGGAGAGGUAGGUGGAAUUCUGGGUGUAGGGGUGAAAUGCGUAGAUAUCGAGAGGAACACUCGUGGCGAAGGCGGGUUGCUGGAACAUAACUGACGCUGAGGCACGAAGGCGAGGGGAGCGAAAGGGAUUAGAUACCCGGGUAGUC